rnacentral:tRNA from 1 species
GCCGAAGUAGCUCAGCGGCAGAGCAGCACUUUUGUAAAGUGACGGUCGUGGGUUCAAAUCCCACCUUCGGCUCCA